GACGAACGCUGGCGGCGUGCUUAACACAUGCAAGUCGAACGGAAAGGCCCUGCUUUUGUGGGGUGCUCGAGUGGCGAACGGGUGAGUAACACGUGAGUAACCUGCCCCUGACUUUGGGAUAACUUAAGGACACUGGGGCUAAUACCGGAUAGGAGCUCCUGCUGCAUGGUGGGGGUUGGAAAGUUUCGGCGGUUGGGGAUGGACUCGCGUCGCAUCAGCUUGUUGGGUGGGUAGUGGCUUACCAUGGCUUUGACGGGUAGCCUGGCUGAGAGGGUGAGCGGCCACGCUGGGACUGAGAUGCGACACAGACUCGAACGGGACGCAGGGGAGGGGAAGAGUAUACUAUGGGAGGGGGGAAGAUGCGACACAGCCGCGUGCGGGAUGUGGUCAAGCGGGUAGGGAUGCGCUGCUGCUUUAGACGAGGCGUUAGUGACGGUAACGGGUAAAGAAGCACCGGCUAACUACGUG
rnacentral:rRNA from 1 species